rnacentral:rRNA from 1 species
UGCAAGUCGAGCGGCAGCACGGGGAGCUUGCUCCCUGGUGGCGAGCGGCGGACGGGUGAGUAAUGCAUAGGAAUCUGCCCGGUAGUGGGGGAUAACGUGGGGAAACCCACGCUAAUACCGCAUACGUCCUACGGGAGAAAGCGGAGGAUCUUCGGACUUCGCGCUAUCGGAUGAGCCUAUGUCGGAUUAGCUAGUUGGUAAGGUAACGGCUUACCAAGGCGACGAUCCGUAGCUGGUCUGAGAGGAUGAUCAGCCACACUGGGACUGAGACACGGCCCAGACUCCUACGGGAGGCAGCAGUGGGGAAUAUUGGACAAUGGGCGAAAGCCUGAUCCAGCCAUGCCGCGUGUGUGAAGAAGGCUUUCGGGUUGUAAAGCACUUUCAGCGAGGAAGAAAGCCUCUGGGUUAAUACCCCAGAGGAAGGACAUCACUCGCAGAAGAAGCACCGGCUAACUCCGUGCCAGCAGCCGCGGUAAUACGGAGGGUGCGAGCGUUAAUCGGAAUUACUGGGCGUAAAGCGCGCGUAGGUGGCUUGGCACGCCGGUUGUGAAAGCCCCGGGCUCAACCUGGGAACGGCAUCCGGAACGGCCAGGCUAGAGUGCAGGAGAGGAAGGUAGAAUUCCCGGUGUAGCGGUGAAAUGCGUAGAGAUCGGGAGGAAUACCAGUGGCGAAGGCGGCCUUCUGGCCUGACACUGACACUGAGGUGCGAAAGCGUGGGUAGCAAACAGGAUUAGAUACCCUGGUAGUCCACGCCGUAAACGAUGUCGACUAGCCGUUGGGACCUUUAAGGACUUAGUGGCGCAGUUAACGCGAUAAGUCGACCGCCUGGGGAGUACGGCCGCAAGGUUAAAACUCAAAUGAAUUGACGGGGGCCCGCA